CUACAAGUUCAUACCCCUUCUCCACAAAUCCAUACAGCCUCUACACAUCUAGAACUCACCCUUCUUCACAUUUAUAUCCCCCUACCUCCAAUUAACAUUACUCUCUAUUGUUACCUAGUACAGUUUCCAGAGGAUACAUUUGAUAUUCCAUUUCACUUGAAAGUAAAAGUGUGUGUUGGGCGUUGCUCUUGGCAAUAGUCACAACAGUUACAACCUCCGGUGAAUUCUAUGGAGUAUAACCC